CCUCCGCGCGCGCUCCCGGUCUGCGCACACCGCUCGUGCACGUGCGCCGCAUUGGUGAGAGAAGUAGCCUACGCGAGGCCAAAGCAAUAAAGGGCCUAAUGACUUCUGACCUCUGGACAUCUGGGUGACGAACUGAGCAGACUGCGAUAAUCAGCAGAGCUGUUCAGCCCCUGACUCUGCUGCUGGGAGCUGGGAAGACUUGACGAGGACGCGAUAAAGAGAUUUUAAAUAUAAAAAAACCCCUGGCAUUUCUUUAUUCAGAGCUGAAGCUGAAUAAAGAAAGUUGGAAACCACUGUUUGUGUAUUUAGCCUGUCUGCAGCCGGAUCCAUUGGGAUCAUAAAAUAUUCUUGAGUUUCCUUGUUAAAUCUUGUAAAACUGAUCGUGGUAAGCUCUAAGUUUGAGUCCUCUCAGUGUGCCGUGACAAAAUCGUGCUUGAUGCCAACCCAAAUUUGAAUGUUGGGCCUCAGUUGUGCAGGCCUAGAAAAGGGUGGGGUACUGAAUACUCCUGGACUGGUUGGUGAGCCAUUUCUGGAUGUUGUUCAUCAGAUGAAAACACCCCAAAAAUAUUGCAACACUAAAAACGUCCUUACGAUUACUUUGAUCUCUGGCAGGUUGCAGUGGAUGCCGUUAGACGAUGCAUAGACGACGGCAUCUUUUCUGCAAACACUUGAGACAAAACCUGCAAAAACCCUGAAACCUUCAGAUUAAAUGGCCUGCUUUACUGCUGCAAUCAACAUACUUCAAGAAGCAUAAUGUUUACUUUAAAUAUAAAUGGUCUUUGUUUCUCACCACCUUUCAGUUUCACUACCUUUUGAACUGUUAGCGAGUGUUUGCAGACAAGUCGGCGUCUUCCAUGCAAACUACUGGCGACUGCAGCAACCUGCUUACAACAAAAUAGUCACAGGGAGACUUUUGGUGCAGCACUAUACCCGACUACCCGACCUUCCAACCGUCACCCGUCAUCAGUUUUCCAAAAGUUUUUUUUUUGCUUGUCAAUUUUCAUUUUCUCUAGCACAAAAACUGCAUAUAGUUAUUAUGUGGUUUUAUAUUAUGCAUUAUAUUACAGUAUGCAGUACAGUGUGUUUCACAGAGAUGAUGCUGCACUUUGUAGGCUACAGCAUCUGGCUUUGGGACUUUUAGGGACACAGGGAUGAUAAUCUGAGUCUGACACUGAGGUCAUCAAAACAACUGCAGCUGUGGUGAAUAUGGACUCCCACGGAGUCCCACUUUCGUUCCCUGAUGAAGGCUUCUGUGCUUGUUUUUUUAGGCUAAAUUUAAAGAGAUAAGAAUAAAGGAAUUCAAGUGGUUAUUUGGAAAAAGACAGCAUUUGAAGUUUUUUUUUAUAUUUUAACUGCAUACGGAUGAUUGAAUGAAUAUUUAUUAUCAAUAAACAUAGUAAAAAGGCUUUAUUAUAAAAACAAUAAGUAAAUAGAAUGAAUAAAAACAACCAAAAGAGGAGGGAAACAGCAGCAUUAUGCACAUAUUAUAUGUGUUUGUAUUGAAGUGUGUAUUUCAGUGCCAUGUUUACAGUAAAGUGUGUAGUGUGGUGGAAGUUGUCAUUUUAGAGUAAAAACUGUUCCUGUUUCUGUCUUGAUUGUUCAGAACUGUUCGAGACUGGUGUACUGUCCUUGCUGAUACUGUCUGCCUUCGUCAAACUGAUGGCAGAGAUGGAGUCCAGAUGUGCGAGCUCCGUCCCAACAAUACUCUUUGAUGCUCUCACCACUCGGUGCAGCUCUUUCCUCUCUGCAGCAGCACAGCUGGCAUACCACACUGUUGCUAUUUGUCAGGAUGGAUUUCACUGCACUCCUGCACACUUUCUGUAAAGGUUUGGCUUGUUUUAACUUUCUGAGGAUAAAGAGUCUUUGUUGUGCCUUCUUGACCAGCUGGGAGAUGUUAGUGGACCAUGUCAGCUGCACUGUGAGGGUGACUCCCAGGUACUUAAGGCUCUCUACAGUCUCCACUAUUUCACCAUGAAUGUGGAGUGGGAGAUUUUGUUUCCUGACCCCAGAUCCCUUGAAGUCAAUAAUCAUCUCUUUUGUUUUAGAGGUGUUUAGGGCCAGAUCAUUGUCUCUACAGCACUCAGUCAGAUGGUCCAUUGCCAGACUGUAGCUGUUUUCAUCCUAAAAAGAAAUUAAGCCAAUGAUUAAUUAUGGAAUCAGAGGUGCAGAUGGUGCGUUGGGCUCAACAUACAUCCACUGGGAAUACCAGUGUUUUUGAUUGAUGAUAUUUAUUGUGUUUUUUAUUGUAUUAUAUCUAUAUUGUAUUUAUUUUUUAUUGAGCUUAUUUAAUGUGUCUAAGCUUUAUUUGUUAUAGGGUGUAUUCAAUGUUUUAACUGUUGUGCGCUGUGUGAAUAAUUUCUGGUCUUUUGGGAUAAAUAAACUGUAUUUUAUCUUAUCCUCUUUUAUGUCUCUGUCCUCUCGUCCAACUGUGGUCUCGUCUGGAUAGAAAAAAACUUGAGUUGACAACAGGAAAUACCCCCAAAAGUACCCACGUGAGGUCUUAAUGAUGCCUACAUCCAUCUUUUAAAUGCAAUCUAUGUUUAAAGAGAAACAGAUAGCUGAGUGAUAAAUAAAACAGAGCCAGUAGAGCCCGGAGCUCCGGCCUCGCCUUCACUAGAUGGCCGGUCAUCAUCUGAGGUGGAUAUAAAUGUUAGAGCGGUAGUUUCAGAAAUGGAGCACCGUCAUGGGGAAGGUGGUUCUGGGAAGCAGUUUUCACAGAGAUUUCUGUCCCAUUAUUAUAUUUUUGGAUUAUAGCAAAAAUUAUUUGGUUGGCAAUAAAACAAACUGAGCCACAUAAAGUAAAUACUUUCAAAACGUGUGGUUUGGCAGGAUAAUAAAUCAUAUUCAGCUGUGCUAUUUUUGGGAUAUGGCACUGAAAUAAAGUUUCAUGACUCUGGGGCUGUCUUGAGCCCCCCCCUUCCAAAUCCUGCUCCAGACUCUGCUCCGCUGGUCUCUUUGGGAGAGCCUGGUAGGUGAGCAGAAGCUGUUCAGUAUCAUUUCAAAUGAUGUUAUUUUUGAAACCAAGCAAAAUGUCUGGCAGGAGAAGAUGUGGAAAUGUUUGUUUAUUCAUUGCUGAAAGCUGGUUAGUUUGCACAUUAGCCCCCGAGGACAGAGUGACAUCAACCUUUGAAGCCCAACAACAUGAUCAUAAUCCCCUUUUGAACUCGAACAUAAUUGGUAUCAGUUGUUGAAAGAGGCGAUGAAUGAAAAAAAGAUGACUGAGAGAACGGUCUUGAUGUAGCUUUACAUGCUAAUUAUUUGGCUUAUCUGCGUAAUGAAAGAACAGAUCAGUGAAUAAAUGUGUUUGGAAAAGGGAAAGGUUUAAUUUCUACAAUCUAAAAUUCAUCAGUCCGUAUUUCAAAAGGAAAUUAUUUUUUCAUCAUCAAAACAUCGUUUAAUUGGAAGCAAAGACCCAGAAGAUGAUAAGUUAUAAUCGCAAUCUGCUUUAUAUUCACGGAGAAGAAACACCGCAACUUGUUUGGAUAAAAGUUUGAAAUAAAACAGGGCGAUACAAUCAGGUGCACGCGAGUUUCUCAGCCGCGCUGCCUGACAGAUCGUCUUAUCGAGUAAUGGCAGCGAUAUCUGCACACUAAACAAUCUGGUGUUUGCGUUCACUGUCAAGCAAACGUGUUUCUGUCAGAAGGUGGAUUCAGAUGUGUUUCAUCAUCAUCAGCAGCCUCAGCAGCAGCUGUCUAAUCCAGUCAGUUACAGAUAUUUAAAUGUUAGAGCUGCUUAACAAAACAAACAAACUCAAAGACUGUAACACAAGUGGAGCAGCCCAAAGUCAAAAUGCCACAAUCCACCGGUGGAUUCAUCCACCUGGAUCUAAAUUUCUUUUACCUUCGUCCUGAUUAACUGGGAUCAGUGAGGAUAUUCGUGUGUCUUAAUUUUCCUGAUUAACAUCUAAAGUCUGCCUUCUGCUGCAUUUUGCAUUACUGAAGCCGUACAUCCUGUUCUUUGCAGUAAAUUUGUUUUCUGGGAACCCAUCAGGGAAACUUGAAUUUGUUGCUGACUUGUCAUUAACAAGCCGCUGGAUGUUAUUUGCGGAGAGAAAUCUGUGCAAACAUAAUUCGUGACAGAGGAGACGAUGUUUGCUCUUUUCCAGCCCCAUCUAUUUUUAAUGAAUUUGACUUUUUUCUGGUACAGGAAAACAAAUCGACACUCAGAGAGGAUGACAUGCAGUGCUAUGUUUGCCCUGCAGGUGACAGCAGUAGCAUAUUUAUAAUGCAAACACGUGCACCGUGAAGAAUAAGGAGAACCGAAUCAUCCUUAUUGUAAUGUGAUGAAAAUUCAACAGGCCAGUUUUUAGCUCAUUUCCAGACUUCCACAAACAAAACUUUGAUUAGCUCUGGUGCAAGCUGUUUCCAGAAACCAGCGGUGUUUCAGCCAGCUUAGUGCUCUGUGCUUUCUUCUGUGCCCUUUUGCUUGAACCUGCAGCACCGAGGUUUUUGUCAGAAUGAACGCCACCAUGAAAAACAAAUUUACAGCAGAUCUGGGAAAAGUACAAAGGGGGGAAAAAUCCAUCUCAAUCAAAAUAGACGACAUUUCGUUCACUGCUCUGCGUAACCCCAUUGAUGUCUUUUGAGAUUUGAAAUGCUGAGGGGAGCAACUAACCCCCCUGACUGUUGCUGUUCUCACCAGACUCCAGCUGUGUUUUUCUCCGCUGCAGGAAAGCAGUGAAAUUGCUGACUUCCCCCUUGGGUUUAAAACAGCGACAUGUAAAAUUAGGUCCUCUCUGUUCUCUGUGUACAAGCUCAUGGAGAUGUUUUCUGACAGGUUCAUUGGCUCAAAAGGGGGAGAAACAAAGGGAAAAACAGAGGUUUGCAUCAAGUAACUGGGAUACUGGGGAGUUUUCUGCGAUUUUGCUCACAGAGCGAUGCAUUCAAGUGCAGAUAAUCUGAUAUAAUUGGUAGAAACCUCUGGCACAGAACAAGGUUCCUUCAUGACUUUGCUCUGGGAAGCUGUGAGGUUUUAUUAACCUUACCUCACCUGGCCAGGACUUAUGCUGAGCGUGCAUGUUGUUUUCCAGUGACAGCCUGCCUUACAUUCAUGCGUACCGGCUCCACCUCUGGAGCAGCUGGCUGUUAUUUUCCUCUCUCCACGGCAACAGCAGCAGCCAUGUAAGGUAACUCAGCAGACAAAAAGAUUACUUACAGCAUUUCAAUUUACAGCUACACUCUUAGAAGUAGGGGUGAAGGCCAUUCUUCUCCUUAAGGGUACAAUCUACAGAAAUGUAUGCUUUUACAACUGGAAGUUUAAUUGAUUAGCCCAAUUUGACCUUUUUGAGGCCCAAAAUGGUACAUAAGUGUUCCCAAGCAUUAAAAAGUGAACAUUUGUGCAUGUUUCUUCUUCUUCUUCUUUUUAAGUGCUUGACAAGGUAGACUGUGUUUAAGCAAACAAGAAAUUAAAUAAGAUAAAAGUACAGUUUUACUGUCUUGUUAUUCUGUGAUCUGUCCAAGGUGCACCAGCAACAGCUGGGGUACCUUUGAAUUUCAUAAGAACUGAAGAAAACUAAUAAAUGGAUGUUCCUUUAUUUUAUUAAAUUGAAUGAAUAACUAUGAAUC